rnacentral:snRNA from 1 species
GUGUUGGAUUGUUCACCCAC